GCUUCUUCUCCAUGUGGAGAUGAUGCGCACUGAGGUGAUGAAGUUGCAGACCUCAGGGAACUACCCGAGCAGGCUCCAAAGAGCGGUGGCAAAAUGACACCUCUGCACGCCCAGCCCCAGCUCCCUUUGGAGCAGUUCUCAAUAUGGCCACGAGGUGGCAGCACAGCAGGCCUCUGUUCAGGGCAAGCCCAUCGUUUCCUCAGGGAUCCAGGGCAUGGCCUCCCGGCUGGUGGUUGAGCGUCCCAAGGGUGGCAUCACCACUGCCAGGACCAGUGUCUGUCUCUGUCUCGGGACACAGAGGCUAUAACUCUCUGUUGACUGUCUUCAUGCUGCACCCUGAGCCAUUUACAGCAGGAUGCCCAUCUGAUUCCCUCUGAGCCCCAAGAAUGGUUAGGAAAGGAAUAUUUGUACGUCUUAAAUCUCACAAUAAAUGAUAUGAUCCCAGUUUUACAGGUGACCAGAUCAAGGGCGACAGUAAUUAAGUGACUGGCUCCAGGUCACAGCCAAUGAGGAAUAUGACACUACUUUAAAUUUUAUUACAGAAAUUUUCAAACAUAUACAGAAGAAAAUAUCCGUAACUCCCACAGUAUUUAUCAUCCAGUUUCAACCACUAUCAACAUUUUGCCACUUAUUUUUCUCCUAUCCUCAUUUUUUUUUUUACCAGAGCAUUUAUAAAGCAAAUUCCAGACCCUGUGGCAAUUUACUGUAAAUACUUCCAUUUGCACCUCUAAACAAUUAGAACAUUUUACCUAACCACCAGGCCAUUAUCUCUCCCUAAUAAAAGUAUCAAUAACUCCUUAUUAUCAUCUAAUACUGCUUAUAUUCAAAUUUCCUCCCCCUUUCACAAAUGUCUUUUUGACAGCUGGUCUGUUCUGUCUGAUCCAAAUAAGGUCCACACACUCCAUUUGGUCCUGUCUUUUAAGCAGUUUUAUUCUCAAACAGUCGUCCUUUCUUUUUUUCUCGAGGCCCUUCGUUAAUGAAUAAACUAGGCCAUUUGUCUGGUAUAACAUCCCACAUUCUGGAUUUGGCUGUUUGCCUCCUCCUGCAGGUGGCACAGGGCCUGGCACAGAGCAGGUGUUCAUUCAACAUUACAAAUCCUGUUAAGGGGAGCAAAGAGAAAGAACAGAGGUGUGGUCCUCACAAGUGUGAUAGGUAGGCAGCACUCCACUUGAGGGGCCACAAGCUCCAGCCAUGGGAUCGUGGGGAGCCCACAGGCUCCAGCCCCGGGAUCUUGGGGAGACCACAGGCUCCAGCCCCGGCAUCUUGGGGAGACCACAGGCUCCAGCCCCGGGAUCUUGGGGAGCCCACAGGCUCCAGCCCUGGGAUCUUGGGGAGCCCACAGGCUCCAGCCCUCCAUCUUGGUGGUGAGGACUGCAGGCCAAACAGUUGAAGCAGGAGCCAGACCAGAGCUCCUCGGGGCCCCUCGCUGGAGGGACAGAAGCCACGGGACAUAAGAACAAAUGGCAGCUCCUCUUCCAGCGCCUCGGCUUCUUCGUGCCACGUGAUAUACUAUCGCUGACCUUCGUCAUAUAAAGAAUACGUUUGUAUUUGUGAGCUUUAGCUUGGUCCCUAAAGUCUUCCUAGGUGCUGCUCUCAUUUUGUUGUUCUGUGUUUUAUUCAGAGCAAACUGAAGGGGAUAGAAAAGUGCAAGCAAAACCAACAAGCACCCACAUUCCCAGCAUCCAACAUCAACACUGCUAACGUUUUGUCCCAUUUUCUUCCGGGGUGUUUUUUUGUUGGAGCCCCCAACCACCGCCUUGCUCCUCCUCCCCGUCCGUCGCCGCCGCAGGGCAGCCAGCCCAGGGCGGAGCCUCCCAGAGGCCGCUGACCGCCGUCUCCUAAAGGACCUGCACAAGCGCGCCCCCGUGCUCUGCCCUCGGCCCAGGUGCACUGAACCAGCGCAGUCCCAGGAGCCGGGGCCGUGACGGAGGACGGGACAAACGCCUGCCCGGACCCAAGCCGACUCCUGGAGCCAACGGCGGCCCGAAACGUGAAGACACGUUCUACUGGAAACCGGCCGCCAAGUCCUGCAGGCGCCGAACACGCGCACUUCCGGCGUCCCGCCCCGCCCCAUGCUCACUCCCCAUUGGUCCCUCA
ensembl:lncRNA